GGUGAUAUUGACUCUGGUGUGUCCACUGCUCAUGGAUGAACCUCAGGUGUGCCCACCCACCCUGGAGAGAGAGAAGGGAAGAUGGAAGGCACGAUCGAGAGCCAUCCCCAGGGCCCUGCCUGCAGCUCCUGCUUCUGUCUAAAAGCUGUGGCCCACAGGACACAGGCAUACUUGCUUUUUACCAGACGACUGGCUCCCAGCUGAUGGGGUAAGUGUUCAUGGAUAAGUUCAGGGGAAGGCCUGGAACUCAUUUAGAA
rnacentral:lncRNA from 1 species